AUAGCGUAUAUUAAAGUUGUUGCAGUUAAAAAGCUCGUAGUUGAACCUUGGGCCUGGCUGGCCGGUCCGCCUCACCGCGUGCACUGGUCCGGCCGGGCCUUUCCCACUGGGGAACCGCAUGCCCUUCACUGGGUGUGUCGGGGAACCAGCACUUUUACUUUGAACAAAUUAGAUCGCUUAAAGAAGGCCUAUGCUCGAAUACAUUAGCAUGGAAUAAUAGAAUAGGACGUGUGGUUCUAUUUUGUUGGUUUCUAGGACCGCCGUAAUGAUUAAUAGGGACAGUCGGGGGGAUCAGUAUUCAAUUGUCAGAGGUGAAAUUCUUGGAUUUAUUGAAGACUACUUACUGCGAAAGCAUUUGCCAAGGAUGUUUUCAAUAAUCAGGAACGAAAGUUAGGGGAUCGAAGACGAUCAGAUACC
rnacentral:rRNA from 1 species